GUGUGUUAUAGCCACGGGUAGCACCUAAGAUGGUUAUGACAUUAAAAAAUGUAGGAAUACAUAUGGUGUGUAAGGGAAUCUUGUACACCACCACUUAUAUUUUGACACCUCAUAAAUCCCACGUGGAAAAGAGAGGGAAACAAAAAUUUCAAUCAACAAAUUAAGAAGGAUAAUUUUUUAGCGUAUUGCGCCAUCAUCACCCUUCAGAGCGAGAAAAUUUCAUUGAAUGCCAAGAAUAACGUUCUACCAUCCCCAAGUAAUUGUAAAAAGCAUUUUAUCUCCUUUAAUUUACCUUCAUGAUUUCAUCUUCAAGUUCAUCAUUCUGCCAUUAAUGGCCAAAGAAACCUUCCAUGUCAAUUCUAAGGAUCGGUCAGCCAUUAAGCUAAUUAAUAAAGCCUUUUGUGAGCAUUAGUUGCCGAAGGAUUUUGCCGAUGAUGUUAUUUUCUCCCCUAAUUAGUUUGAUGUAAAACAUAUAAUAAUUAGAAACUAAUUUUUUGGCCCGGGCGAUGCCUCGGGUUACUGCAUUAGUAACAUUUAUAUUAUUCUUAUUUGAAAAUGUUAUUAAUAAAUUCCCUUUUUUUUUUACAUUUAUUAGUAUUUUUUUUGCAAGAACACAUAACAUGUUAUAGCUCAAUGUUAAACAAUUCAUUAUUUAAACGUGAGAUCGGGGGUUCAAGCCUUA